rnacentral:rRNA from 1 species
UACGGAGGGGGCUAGCGUUGUUCGGAAUUACUGGGCGUAAAGCGCACGUAGGCGGCUUUGUAAGUUAGAGGUGAAAGCCCGGGGCUCAACUCCGGAAUUGCCUUUAAGACUGCAUCGCUAGAAUUGUGGAGAGGUAAGUGGAAUUCCGAGUGUAGAGGUGAAAUUCGUAGAUAUUCGGAAGAACACCAGUGGCGAAGGCGACUUACUGGACACAUAUUGACGCUGAGGUGCGAAAGCGUGGGGAGUAAACAGG